AUACGUUCCCGGGCCUUGUACACACCGCCCGUCACACCAUGAGAGUUGGCAAUACCCAAAGUUCGUGAGCUAACGCGUAAGCGAGGCAGCGACCUAAGGUAGGGUCAGCGAUUGGGGUGAAGUCGUAACAAGGUAGCCGUAGGAGAACCUGCGGCUGGAUCACCUCCUUU
rnacentral:rRNA from 1 species